AACGAACGCUGGCGGCAGGCCUAACACAUGCAAGUCGAGCGCGCCCUUCGGGGUGAGCGGCGGACGGGUGAGUAACGCGUGGGAACGUACCCUUUGCUACGGAAUAGUCUCGGGAAACUGGGGGUAAUACCGUAUGAGCCCUUCGGGGAAAGAUUUAUCGGCAAAGGAUCGGCCCGCGUUGGAUUAGGUAGUUGGUGGGGUAAUGGCCCACCAAGCCGACGAUCCAUAGCUGGUUUGAGAGGAUGAUCAGCCACACUGGGACUGAGACACGGCCCAGACUCCUACGGGAGGCAGCAGUGGGGAAUCUUAGACAAUGGGCGCAAGCCUGAUCUAGCCAUGCCGCGUGAGCGAUGAAGGCCUUUAGGGUUGUAAAGCUCUUUCGUGGGGGAAGAUAUGACUCGUACCCAAGAAG
rnacentral:rRNA from 1 species